rnacentral:rRNA from 1 species
GACGAACGCUGGCGGCGUGCUUAACACAUGCAAGUCGAACGGUGAAGGGGAGCUUGCUCCCCGGAUCAGUGGCGAACGGGUGAGUAACACGUGAGCAAUCUGCCCUGGACUCUGGGAUAAGCGUUGGAAACGACGUCUAAUACCGGAUACGAGGCGUGGGGGCAUCCCCAACGCCUGGAAAGAACUUCGGUCCAGGAUGAGCCCGCGGCCUAUCAGCUAGUUGGUGAGGUAACGGCUCACCAAGGCGACGACGGGUAGCCGGCCUGAGAGGGGGACCGGCCACACUGGGACUGAGACACGGCCCAGACUCCUACGGGAGGCAGCAGUGGGGAAUAUUGCACAAUGGGCGCAAGCCUGAUGCAGCAACGCCGCGUGAGGGACGACGGCCUUCGGGUUGUAAACCUCUUUUAGCAGGGAAGAAAAGCAUCCAGUUAAUACCUGGGUGUCCUGACGGUACCGGAAGAAUAAGCACCGGCUAACUUCGU